rnacentral:ncRNA from 1 species
AAUUGAGUUUGAUUUUUUCUUUAAAAUUAAUUAUUUAUAUGAAUUAUAUGAAUUAUAUUAAAUUAGUUUUUAUUCAGUAAUAAAUUUUUUUAAUUAUUUUUAUUUAUAUUAAGUUAUAUAAUUAUCUUAGAUGAAAAUUGUGCCAGCAUUCGCGGUUAUACAAUUUAAGAAUAUUAAUUUAUUUAGUUUUAAUUUUUUAUUUUGAGGUUAAAUUUAUAUUAUUUAAGUGAAAUUUUUAUUUUAAUUUUGCUUCUGUUUCAAUUUUUAUUAAAUCUUUAUAAUAAAUUAGGAUUAGAUACCCUAUUAUUAAUUGACUUAAUUUUAUUAGCUUUAACAUUAAUAGUUAUUUUCUAUAAAAUUUUAAUAAUUUGGCGGUAAUUUAUUUUUAGGGGAACCUGUUCUUUAAUUGAUAAACCACGAUAUUAUUUACUUUAUUUCUAUUUGUAUAUCUCUAUAAUUUGGAGUAUUUUAAUAAAAAUUCUUUUUUUUUUAUAAAAUUUUAUGUUAGGUCAAGGUGCAGUUAUUUUUAAAGUUAGUGUGGGUUACUUUAAUUUUAUAUAUUUAUUGGAUUGAAAAAUUAUUUAUUUUUAUAAAAUCGGAUUUAAUAGUAAUUUUAAAUUAUUAUUUAAUAUGAAUUUUUUAUUAAAUUAUGUACAUAUUGCCCGUCACUCUCAUUUUAGUUGAGAUAAGUCGUAACAAAGUAAUUGUACUGGAAGGUGUAAUUAGAUUU